GUGAAUCAUCAAAUCUUUGAACGCAAAUUGCACUCUCUUCGGAGAGUAUGCCUGUUUGAGGGUCAGUCUAUAAAAAAUCGACAUCGUUGCUGUUUCACGGCGACGUUCGUUGGAAAUUGGGUCAUCUUAUAUCUUUGGUUUAAGCGACUUAAAAUUUUUUUUACGAUUCUAUGUACGUAUCCAAGUCUUAUUUCUUUUCAUGUUUAAGGUAUUGAUUUUAUUAGGCGUGGUCGUUAUAUCGGAUCAUGUACAUAACUUUUCGUUAAUUGACCUCAGACA
rnacentral:misc_RNA from 1 species